rnacentral:rRNA from 1 species
GCCGCGUGAGUGAAGAAGGCCUUCGGGUUGUAAAGCUCUUUUGUCAGGGAAGAAACACCGGCUCUAACACAGUCCGGGAAUGACGGUACCUGAAGAAUAAGCACCGGCUAACUACGUGCCAGCAGCCGCGGUAAUACGUAGGGUGCGAGCGUUAAUCGGAAUUACUGGGCGUAAAGCGUGCGCAGGCGGUUAUACAAGACAGGCGUGAAAUCCCCGGGCUUAACCUGGGAAUGGCGCCUGUGACUGUAUAGCUAGAGUGUGUCAGAGGGGGGUAGAAUUCCACGUGUAGCAGUGAAAUGCGUAGAUAUGUGGAGGAAUACCAAUGGCGAAGGCAGCCCCCUGGGAUAACACUGACGCUCAUGCACGAAAGCGUGGGGAGCAAACAGGAUUAGAUACCCUGGUAGUCCACGCCCUAAACGAUGCUGACUAGUUGUUCGGGAUUUACAUCCUGAGUAACGUAGCUAACGCGUGAAGUCAGCCGCCUGGGGAGUACGGUCGCAAGAUUAAAACUCAAAGGAAUUGACGGGGACCCGCACAAGCGGUGGAUGAUGUGGAUUAAUUCGAUGCAACGCGAAAAACCUUACCUACCCUUGACAUGUCACUAACGAAGUAGAGAUACAUU